rnacentral:rRNA from 1 species
UACGUAGGGCGCAAGCGUUGUCCGGAAUUAUUGGGCGUAAAGAGCUCGUAGGCGGUUUGUCGCGUCUGCUGUGAAAACCUAAGGCUCAACCUUGGGCUUGCAGUGGGUACGGGCAGACUAGAGUGCGGUAGGGGUGACUGGAAUUCCUGGUGUAGCGGUGGAAUGCGCAGAUAUCAGGAGGAACACCGAUGGCGAAGGCAGCCCCCUGGGCUAGCACUGACGCUCAGGCACGAAAGCAUGGGGAGCGAACAGG